rnacentral:rRNA from 1 species
UACGUAGGGUGCGAGCGUUAAUCGGAAUUACGGGGCGUAAAGCGCGCGUAGGCGGCUCGGAAAGUCGGGCGUGAAAUGCCGGGGCUCAACCCCGGGACUGCGUCCGAUACUUCCGAGCUGGAGGUAGGUAGGGGAGAUCGGAAUUCCUGGUGUAGCGGUGAAAUGCGCAGGUAUCAGGAGGAACACCGGUGGCGAAGGCGGAUCUCUGGGCCUUACCUGACGCUGAGGCGCGAAAGCUAGGGGAGCGAACAGG